CGGGAUUUCAUUGUGUCAGUUUUGUGAAAGAUUUUGUAAGAGAGCAGACAUGUUGAUUUGGACACCGACACAUACAUCUUUUGACAAUCGAAUAAUUCAGUACUAAGUGCUUCGCUCUUUUGAUGGCAUCGGUUUCCUAAUUCCUGGCUCUGUGCCAUACACAGGUGCGUGAUAUGUACAUUUUAAGUAAUUUAUAUUUCCAUGAAAGUUAUAUUCUAACUUUAGUUGUUAAAGUUAGGUUUAUCAUUUUCUUUCUUAUUUCUUUUGGAUUAAUUGGUCAUUAGAUUACUAUGUAACUAUUUGUAAUGAUAUAUAAUUGAGAAACAAUAAUUGUAAAAUUAUUGUAAAGUAAUUGCCAUGUAUGCUGUGUAAUUGUAACGGUAUGAAUUAGUAGGCAGUACAGUAAUUAGUUUGUAAGAGUUAUGUCCCUUUAGUAUAUGUAUUGUACUUGUGAUUCGUUGUGCUAAAUGUAGUCUUUUGUGUUUGUUUACAGAGUGUAAUGUAUAUGUAUCUACCUAUACACUAGGAUAUUGAACCAUGUUAUAUCUGUGCUGUGGAAAUGGAAUAAACAUAAAUC